rnacentral:rRNA from 1 species
GAUGAACGCUGGCGGCGUGCCUAAUACAUGCAAGUCGAGCGAACGGACGAGAAGCUUGCUUUUCUGAUGUUAGCGGCGGACGGGUGAGUAACACGUGGAUAACCUACCUAUAAGACUGGGAUAACUUCGGGAAACCGGAGCUAAUACCGGAUAAUAUUUUGAACCGCAUGGUUCAAAAGUGAAAGACGGUCUUGCUGUCACUUAUAGAUGGAUCCGCGCUGCAUUAGCUAGUUGGUAAGGUAACGGCUUACCAAGGCAACGAUGCAUAGCCGACCUGAGAGGGUGAUCGGCCACACUGGAACUGAGACACGGUCCAGACUCCUACGGGAGGCAGCUGUAGGGAAUCUUCCGCAAUGGGCGAAAGCCUGACGGAGCAACGCCGCGUGAGUGAUGAAGGUCUUCGGAUCGUAAAACUCUGUUAUUGGGGAAGAACAUAUGUGUAAGUAACUGUGCACAUCUUGACGGUACCUAAUCAGAAAGCCACGGCUAACUACGU